UAUUGCAAAUAUCUACAAGAACCGAAGACUUCAUUGUUGAUACACUGAAACUUCGGGUUCAUAUUGGUCCAUAUCUGCCCAAGAUUUUUAAGGAUCCUACCAAGAAAAAGGUUAUGCACGGAGCAGAUAAGGAUAUUUUGUGGCUGCAACGAGAUUUCGGCAUAUAUGUUUGACACUGGACAGGCCUCGCGGGUGUUGAAUUUGGAGAGAAAUUCUCUGGAGUUUCUGUUGCUGCAUCUCU